GUGGGGAAUCUUGCGCAAUGGGCGAAAGCCUGACGCAGCCAUGCCGCGUGAAUGAUGAAGGUCUUAGGAUUGUAAAAUUCUUUCACCGGGGACGAUAAUGACGGUACCCGGAGAAGAAGCCCCGGCUAACUUCGUGCCAGCAGCCGCGGUAAUACGAAGGGGGCUAGCGUUGCUCGGAAUUACUGGGCGUAAAGGGCGCGUAGGCGGACAGUUUAGUCAGAGGUGAAAGCCCAGGGCUCAACCUUGGAAUUGCCUUUGAUACUGGCUGUCUUGAGUACGGGAGAGGUGAGUGGAACUCCGAGUGUAGAGGUGAAAUUCGUAGAUAUUCGGAGGAACACCAGUGGCGAAGGCGGCUCACUGGCUCGAUACUGACGCUGAGGUGCGAAAGCGUGGGGAGCAAACAGGAUUAGAAACCCGAGUAGUCC
rnacentral:rRNA from 1 species